GGAUCAUUACCGAGUGCGGGUCCUUUGGGCCCAACCUCCCAUCCGUGUCUAUUAUACCCUGUUGCUUCGGCGGGCCCGCCGCUUGUCGGCCGCCGGGGGGGCGCCUUUGCCCCCCGGGCCCGUGCCCGCCGGAGACCCCAACACGAACACUGUCUGAAAGCGUGCAGUCUGAGUUGAUUGAAUGCAAUCAGUUAAAACUUUCAACAAUGGAUCUCUUGGUUCCGGCAUCGAUGAAGAACGCAGCGAAAUGCGAUAACUAAUGUGAAUUGCAGAAUUCAGUGAAUCAUCGAGUCUUUGAACGCACAUUGCGCCCCCUGGUAUUCCGGGGGGCAUGCCUGUCCGAGCGUCAUUGCUGCCCUCAAGCCCGGCUUGUGUGUUGGGUCGCCGUCCCCCUCUCCGGGGGGACGGGCCCGAAAGGCAGCGGCGGCACCGCGUCCGAUCCUCGAGCGUAUGGGGCUUUGUCACAUGCUCUGUAGGAUUGGCCGGCGCCUGCCGACGUUUUCCAACCAUUUUUUCCAGGUUGACCUCGGAUCAGGUAGGGAUACCCGCUGAACUUAAGCAUAUCAAUAAGCGGAGGAAAAGAAACCAACCGGGAUUGCCUCAGUAACGGCGAGUGAAGCGGCAAGAGCUCAAAUUUGAAAGCUGGCUCCUUCGGAGUCCGCAUUGUAAUUUGCAGAGGAUGCUUUGGGUGCGGCCCCCGUCUAAGUGCCCUGGAACGGGCCGUCAGAGAGGGUGAGAAUCCCGUCUUGGGCGGGGUGUCCGUGCCCGUGU
rnacentral:rRNA from 1 species